rnacentral:rRNA from 1 species
AGGCAGCAGUGGGGAAUAUUGGACAAUGGGCGCAAGCCUGAUCCAGCAAUGCCGCGUGGACAAGAAGGUCUUCGGAUUGUAAAGUCCUUUCGGCGGGGACGAUGAUGACGGUACCCGCAGAAGAAGCCCCGGCUAACUUCGUGCCAGCAGCCGCGGUAAUACGAAGGGGGCUAGCGUUGCUCGGAAUGACUGGGCGUAAAGGGCGCGUAGGCGGACAUUUUAGUCAGGCGUGAANUUCCUGGGCUUAACCUGGGGGCUGCGUUUGAUACGGUGUGUCUAGAGUGGGGCAGAGGGUCGUGGAAUUCCCAGUGUAGAGGUGAAAUUCGUAGAUAUUGGGAAGAACACCGGUGGCGAACGCGGCGUCACUGGCUCGUAUCUGACACUCAAGCGCGACAGCGUGGGGAUCAAACAGGAUUAGAUACCCUGGUAGUCCACGCCGUAAACGAUGAUUGCUAGCCGUUGGGCAGCUUGCUGUUCAGUGGCGCAGCUAACGCAUUAAGCAAUCCGCCUGGGGAGUACGGCCGCAAGGUUGAAACUCAAAGGAAUUGACGGA